rnacentral:rRNA from 1 species
CUACGGGUGGCUCCAGUUAGGAAUAUUCUGCAAUGCGCGCGAGCGUGACAGAUUGAACCAGAGUGUUUUUCAAAUGAAAGACUUUUGUGAAAUGUAAAAAGUUUUACGAAUAAGGACUGGGUAAGACGAGUGCCAGCCGCCGCGGUAAUACUCGCGGUCCAAGUCGCAGCCAUUUUUAUUGGGUCUAAAACAUCCGUAGCUUGCUUGAUAAGUUUCUUGUGAAAUUUUAUAUCUCAAAUAUGAAGCGUGCAAGAAGUACUGUCAAGCUAGAGACUGGAAGACGUAAGAAGUAUGUUUGGAGUAGCGGUAAAAUGUGUUAAUCCCAGACAGACUAACAACAGCGAAGGCAUCUUACGAGGACAGUUCUGACAGUAAGGGAUGAAAGCUAGGGGCGCAAAACGGAUUAGAUACCCCCGUAGUC